ensembl:lncRNA LINC00305 long intergenic non-protein coding RNA 305
AUGAUCAACCUUCAUAGACUGUGCAUUAUACAUGUUGUUGCCACCUUGCUCUCCACUCUCCUGUCCCUUAUCUCAGUAGCCAUCUCUGCGACCUGCAAAGAUGAAAAGGGAAAGCAGGAGAUGGAAACUGGUCAGCAGCCUUCUGGUUUAUCAGCCACACUUACAAAGGUCAAAUGUGCAAAGCGUCAGAAGACAGUGGUUAGAGUGAGAUUCUACAUGCUCUCAAUGAAGAAUAAAGCAUGCAGGAAGAACCUUUCAAAAGGUUACAACCAGAGACCUGAAGGAAGCAAGGAAGAAAGCCACAUGGUUGUCAAAGAGAAGAGGAAAGGAGAUCACUAA